rnacentral:rRNA from 1 species
GUGGGGAAUAUUGGACAAUGGGCGAAAGCCUGAUCCAGCCAUGCCGCGUGAGUGAUGAAGGCCUUAGGGUUGUAAAGCUCUUUCAGUAGGGAAGAUAAUGACGGUACCUACAGAAGAAGCCCCGGCUAACUUCGUGCCAGCAGCCGCGGUAAUACGAAGGGGGCUAGCGUUGUUCGGAUUUACUGGGCGUAAAGCGCACGUAGGCGGAUUGGUCAGUUAGAGGUGAAAUCCUGGAGCUCAACUCCAGAACUGCCUUUAAUACUGCCAGUCUAGAGUCCAGAAGAGGUGAGUGGAACUCCUAGUGUAGAGGUGGAAUUCGUAGAUAUUAGGAGGAACACCAGUGGCGAAGGCGGCUCACUGGUCUGGUACUGACGCUGAGGUGCGAAAGCGUGGGGAGCAAACAGGAUUAGAAACCCUUGUAGUCC